GUCUAGAGCAUUGUUUUACAGGGACACGGCAUCCAGGAAUUGGAUAUCAACACCGUGCUGUCACAGUCAGUGAUGCCAACCCUUUCCGCCCUGGACUUGCAGAAGGUACCUGUGAUCAGCUCUUCUGGACAAAUCUCAAUGUGACUGUUAAAGGACGAACAUUGCCGCAGGUGGCCUACACAGAGAGGCCA